AGAGGCAGCUUGCAAGUUCUCCUGGGGAGGGGAAACUCUGGGCCUCGUAGUCCCCUCACCACAGGCGACUGCCCGUGGAAUUUUCCCUGAUGUCUAUGUGGUUCUCAAGUUUCCCAGCUUGUUCACCUGAGCACUUGGAGUUUGGCUUUUCAGCUCAGAGAAAAAACUCGGAGCUGCCAUGCCACCAGUUUGGCCUUAGGGCUGUGACUAAAUAAAUAAGGGGGACCCCUUCCCCCAGCCGGAUCAGUUUAUUUUCAAAGACAGGGCUUUCUGCAGAUGUCACCGUGGAGCUGGCAGGAAGGCCUCUGUGGGCAGCUGGUUGCCGUGGCCGUGCAGGGCAGUUGGGGGCCCCCUCCCCCUGACCUGGGGCUGGUGACAGCUUACCUUCGCAGUUGCCAAAAAGAAUCUUGACUCUGAUUUUUGACAAGUUCAACUUUCCUAACCAGCCAGACCCACCAGAGGGACCACCUUGAACAAAGACCUGGCCAAAUGCAAAAGGCAAUGAAGCAAUGGGUGAUCUUUAAAGCUAUAAAGGAACUACUGUAUAGUAAAAUUCUGUGGCACCACACAAAAAUGGAGAUUUCUCAAAUGUUGAGAGUUUGAAUUAUUCUAGGUGCAUAUCAAUGCAUUUGUCUUCGUGCUCUUUCAAGUGUGACACCAUGUACCAAAUUUACUUCCCAGACGUACUCCAUCUGAUGUCUUGAGACCAGUCCCUCUCCUGCAGGGAUGACCUACCACCAUCCUAUAUGCUGCACAAGUCUAUGCAAGUCUCCAUUUACAGAUGAAGAAACCAAAGUUCAGAAAAAUUAAGCAACUUGAACAAGGUCCUGUGAGAAGCCAGUGAUGGGGCUGAAACUUGAACAGAAUCUUCAGUCUCCACACCCUGGGCUCUUCUCUCCCACCAGCUUCUGAGGGAAGCAAGAACUUGUCAUGAAGCCUGACUUUUGGCCCAGGGAGUUGGAAUUCCUCUGCAGGCCUCAGAAACCAAGGCCCAGCCUUGCUGACCAGCACUUCCUGCGUCAGUGUUUGGAUCAACACUCAGAGCUCAUUGACAGCAGGUUCCGGUAGCAGAGAAGGGAAACACAUGAGGCAGCUUGUUUAUAAUUUAAAAUGAGGGAAAAAAAAAAAAAAAACAGAAAAAUAAAUGGAUUCACAGGCAGGCCAAAAAUGAUGAUUGCUUUGAUAAGUUCCUUCCUGCUUCUGAUAAAAUGCUCUCCAUUCAUGCAUCAGAAGGCCUGCAAGGUGUCCAGUGCCCCUGGUACUUCUAAUAUUGGGUUCUUUAACAAUUCAACAUGAUAUAUAUAUACACACACACACAUAUUUCCCAUAAUAAACAUAAAAUAUAAAUAUGCAUUAAAAUUUAUUCACUUAUAAUUGGUCUUUGCAAGCUAUAGGCGCACUAUAUAUAUAUUUUAUUAAUUUUAUAUCAUAGUAACAUGAUGGAGGAUGGUGUUAGAAGAAGAAUGUAUAUAUAUAUGUAUAACUGGGUCACUCUACUGUAUAGCAGAAAUUGACAGAACAUUGUAAAUCAACUAUAAUAAAAAAUUAAAAAUUACAUAUCAUAGUAUAUAUAAUUCUUCUGAUCAUGUUUGUGGGGACAUUAUUUAGCUCCUGAAUCACAAUAUAUUAUUGUGCAUCUGUGGCUUGCAAAGCGCAAUGGCUGAUGGGUAUCAGAAAUGAUCAGAAAUGAUUAACCAGGCUCCCUGCUUUUGGUUGCUUCCAGUCCUGUGGGAAAGACUGACCUGUAACUUUUUAGAACAUGAAGCUGAAGGAAGGCCAUAACAGAAUAAAAAAUUAAGUGCAAUGUGAGCCAGAGAAGGAGAACUCAUUCUGAUGGGGCUAAGGGAAGACUUCAGGCAGAGGAGGGCUUUGUGGUGGGAAAGACAUUCUGGGCUGAGGAUCCUGGGCUGUCUGCAAUGUCCUAUUUCACCAGGGGAUGACUAUAGGGCAAGGGACCUGUGAAGGGCUGGGAGCAGAGGGAAGGGGCCAGGCUUAAAGAAGAAAGGUCACAGAGGUGCUAGGAAUUGAGGUGGGAUUAUUAAUGGUUUUAUACCCAGGGACUGGGAAAGCUUGGAUCUUCCCUGCCAGUCAUCUUUUCUCCUAGUUAUCUUCCCAGUGGAAAGAGACUCAGGAAUAACAGCUACCUGGGACUCUAAUUAGCCCUAGGAGUACCAAAUAACACUGUGGACUUCUGGGGAAAACACUCACUUCAGCUUGAAGACUAAGUUGGGCUUCAAGUUUGAAAAACUUGAAUCUGAAUCCUCUGAUGAGCUGAAUUACAGGCAAAGGCCAGCAUGCUUAGGCACACCUAUGGAGAUAUGGUGGGUCUGUUUGGAUGUCUACUUCUAGUCAUGUGGAGAAAGUAAAGGGAUAGGUGGAUUUAUACCUUUAACACACAGAAAUCUGACCCCAAAGAAAAUGUGACAUGAAAAAUGAUCUAAAAUUUUGAUCAGUCAGAUUAAUAAUUCUUUCUCCCUUCAAAGGUAAGGGAGGGAGCUAGAAAGAGGUGGCAAAAGUUGGCAUGAUGUAAGGAGAGGGGUAGAAACAUUCCAUCUCCUGCAGGCAGUGGUGGAUGGUGGGUGGGAAGUGGCUGAAAGUCCAUGAACCAGAAAAGCAGAGAUUCUGCUUGGCAGAACUAAAGGGGAGGUCUCAGGUUCUAGGUAACAGUCAGGAAGUAGUCAUGUUGAUGGAGCUUAUGAGCCAGAAAAACGGUCAAAGGACAAAGAGAUCCACAGGAAAUAAGGAGCAGGGCAAGAAACUAGAAGAAGCAAAUGGCACUGACAAGGCAAACGGAAGCAUUAUUGUCCACCUGCCCUCUUAACUCAUUAAGACAAAGUCCACGGUGAAUCUCAGUCAACGGUGACUGAAAGCAGCUGAUUUGGUAGUUAAUGCAGUUGCAGGGGCAGGGGGCAUGGACAGACAGUUGUCUGCGGCAGUAGGAAGUAGGGGUGGGCAGAAGGCACUUCGCCAACCUCCUCCCACUCUAACAAGCACAGUGCUGCUGUGCCUUGGCUCCAACACCUAUCUGGCGAGAAUCUUGUUUUCCUCUUCAGCAUAGCUGAGCUUGGAGGUUUUGAUAGUGUUUGACUUCAGCAAGUUUCCACAUGAGCCUCUGAUCUAAUGUUGGAACAAAGCAACUGCGGAGGGAGGCCCCGCUUGGAAUGAGUCAGGUGGAGACUGAUGCCUUGUUUCUUGUUAAACACGGUUCCCCCUCCAGGAGAAGCUGAGUUUCAGAGAAGCUAAGUGAUUCCCCCAGGAUUAUAUAGCCACUUGAAGAGUGGGCUGUGAAGAAAGAACCGAAGCCUCCUAACUUUUGGAAUGCCGCAAGUGUGUGCGACGGGCCUGGUGGAUUGACUGCAGUGAGCUGGACUGUAGAGCUGAGAUGUGUCCAGAACAGCGGUUUCCCAUCAAGGACAUAGGAAGCCAUGCCGACGUGGGGAAAAUAUGCUGUUUGAUAUGAAAAAUAGAUCCCCAAGCGGACUCUUCUCCAUACUGUCACUAUCGCCACCUGGACCACUCAUGUUUAAGGCGCCCUCACCUCUGACCUGCAGUCCUGAAGCAGCUUCCAGGCUGGCCCUCCUGUUCCUGCCCUUGCUCUUCUACACUGUAUUCAGCACGAAACUAAGAUACACAAGGACAGGAAUCUCGUUUGUCCACUGAUGUUCGAACACCAAGAAGAAUGACUGGCCUCAAUAAAUGCUUGUU